rfam:Myotis davidii contig215064, whole genome shotgun sequence.
GAUGGUUCUUGGGUGACGGACCCCAGAAUCAGGCUCCCUCCUCUCUGGUGCUGGGUGUGUCACCCAAGAACCGCA